UAGGGAAUCUUCCGCAAUGGACGCAAGUCUGACGGAGCAACGCCGCGUGAGUGAAGAAGGCUUUCGGUUCGUAAAACUCUGUUGUUAGAGAAGAACAGCGCAUAGAGUAACUGUUAUGCGUGUGACGGUAUCUAACCAGAAAGCCACGGCUAACUACGUGCCAGCAGCCGCGGUAAUACGUAGGUGGCAAGCGUUGUCCGGAUUUAUUGGGCGUAAAGCGAGCGCAGGCGGUCAAUUAAGUCUGAUGUGAAAGCCCCCGGCUCAACCGGGGAGGGUCAUUGGAAACUGGUUGACUUGAGUGCAGAAGAGGAGAGUGGAAUUCCAUGUGUAGCGGUGAAAUGCGUAGAUAUAUGGAGGAACACCAGUGGCGAAGGCGACUCGCUGGUCUGUAACUGACGCUGAGGCUAGAAAGCGUGGGUAGCAAACAGG
rnacentral:rRNA from 1 species